rnacentral:tRNA from 1 species
GGGGCGUGGCGCAGCCCGGUAGCGUACUCGCUUGGGGUGCGAGUGGUCGGCCGUUCAAAU